rnacentral:rRNA from 1 species
UACAGAGGUCCCAAGCGUUGUUCGGAUUCAUUGGGCGUAAAGGGUGCGUAGGUGGCGCCGUAAGUCAGGUGUGAAAUCUCGGGGCUUAACUCCGAAACUGCAUUUGAUACUGCGGUGCUUGAGGACUGGAGAGGAGACUGGAAUUUACGGUGUAGCAGUGAAAUGCGUAGAGAUGUGGAGGAAUACCGAUGGCGAAGGCAGCCCCCUGGGUCAAUACUGACGCUCAUGCACGAAAGCGUGGGGAGCAAACAGG